AUGUAUAAGAAAUCAUCUACUAGUAUUAUUAUGCGAUGUGUCAUCAUUGUCAUUUUAUUUGAGCAGCAGCAGCAUCUGUUUUUCGAAACCAUUGGGGUGCAGCAUCUGUGUCUAGGAAAAGUAACUGAAUGUUGCGAGGGUGCAGACGAAAUUGUGCCCUCGACUUCCACUGCAUGCAUGCAUUUGGUUGUUGUCUUUCAGAUAUGUACAAACUUGAGUCAGCGUUCAGCAGUCAAAAUGUUGACUGUCGAGGGACGCCUCAACCAACUAGUGAUGAAUAGUUUGGCACCGAGACAGAGAGAGAGAGAAAAGAACACCGUUCCUUUCAGUAAUACUCCUGUAUAUCUUUUUCUCAACAAUAUAGCUAUCUCAACCAUGUUAGGACACUCAAGUUAA
rnacentral:rRNA from 1 species